rnacentral:ncRNA from 2 species
CACUUAUCAAGAGAGGCGGAGGGAUUGGCCCGAAGAUGUCUCAGCAACCAGCCAAAUAGGUAUGGUGCUAAUUCCAUUAGGCAAACAAUGCCUUGAAGAUAAGAA